UACAGAGGUCUCAAGCGUUGUUCGGAUUCAUUGGGCGUAAAGGGUGUGUAGGUGGCGCGCUAAGUCGUGUGUGAAAUUUCGGAGCUUAACUCCGAAACUGCAUUCGAUACUGGCGUGCUUGAGGACUGGAGAGGAGACUGGAAUUUACGGUGUAGCAGUGAAAUGCGUAGAUAUCGUAAGGAAGACCAGUGGCGAAGGCGGGUCUCUGGACAGUUCCUGACACUGAGACACGAAGGCCAGGGGAGCAAACGGG
rnacentral:rRNA from 1 species